GGACGGUGGUCAGGGGUACUGUUUGGCUAUUGUUAAGAGCGAGGGUAUUAACAUCAUCGGACAAAAUUUUAUGACGGGGUACCGCCUAGUCUUUGACCGUGAUGAGAUGGUUUUGGGUUGGAAAGAAUCUGACUGCUAUGAUUCCAUCUCAACGGAAAGUCCACCAAAGAGAAACCCCACCGGUUCUCCUCCACCACCCACUCGUUCACGUCUACCACAACUACCACCACCGCCACCUGCA